rnacentral:rRNA from 1 species
GAUGAACGCUGGCGGCGUGCCUAAUACAUGCAAGUCGAGCGAAGCGGGGACGGGUGAGUAACACGUGGAUAACCUCCUAUAAGACUGGGAUAACUUCGGGAAACCGGAGCUAAACCGGAUAAUUAUAGCUGGGUCCGCGAUGCAUUAGCUAGUUGGUAAGGUAACGGCUUACCAAGGCAACGAUGGAUAGCCGACCUGAGAGGGUGAUCGGCCACACUGGAACUGAGACACGGUCCAGACUCCUACGGGAGGCAGCAGUAGGGAAUCUUCCGCAAUGGGCGAAAGCCUGACGGAGCAAAGCCGCGUGCGUGAUGAAGGGCUUCGGAUCUUAAAACUCUGUUAUUAGGUAAGCGGUACCUAAGCAGAAAGCCACGGCUAACUACGUGCCAGCAGCCGCGGUAAUUC